AUAGCAUAUCAAUAAGCGGAGGAAAAGAAACCAACAGGGAUUGCCCUAGUAACGGCGAGUGAAGCGGCAACAGCUCAAAUUUGAAAUCUGGCUCUUUUAGAGUCCGAGUUGUAAUUUGCAGAGGGCGCUUUGGCUUUGGCAGCGGUCCAAGUUCCUUGGAACAGGACGUCACAGAGGGUGAGAAUCCCGUACGUGGUCGCUAGCUAUUGCCGUGUAAAGCCCCUUCGACGAGUCGAGUUGUUUGGGAAUGCAGCUCUAAAUGGGAGGUAAAUUUCUUCUAAAGCUAAAUAUUGGCCAGAGACCGAUAGCGCACAAGUAGAGUGAUCGAAAGAUGAAAAGCACUUUGGAAAGAGAGUCAAACAGCACGUGAAAUUGUUGAAAGGGAAGCGCUUGCAGCCAGACUUGCUUGCAGUUGCUCAUCCGGGCUUUUGCCCGGUGCACUCUUCUGCAGGCAGGCCAGCAUCAGUUUGGGCGGUGGGAUAAAGGUCUCUGACACGUUCCUUCCUUCGGGUUGGCCAUAUAGGGGAGACGUCAUACCACCAGCCUGGACUGAGGUCCGCGCAUCUGCUAGGAUGCUGGCGUAAUGGCUGUAAGCGGCCCGUCUUGAAACACGGACCAAGGAGUCUAACAUCUAUGCGAGUGUUUGGGUGUCAAGCCCGAGCGCGUAAUGAAAGUGAACGGAGGUGGGAACCCGCAAGGGUGCACCAUCGACCGAUCCUGAAGUUUACGGAAGGAUUUGAGUAAGAGCAUGGCUGUUGGGACCCGAAAGAUGGUGAACUAUGCUUGAAUAGGGUGAAGCCAGAGGAAACUCUGGUGGAGGCUCGCAGCGGUUCUGACGUGCAAAUCGAUCGUCAAAUUUGGGCAUAGGGGCGAAAGACUAAUCGAACUAUCUAGUAGCUGGUUCCUGCCGAU
rnacentral:rRNA from 1 species